AUUGAACGCUGGCGGCAGGCUUAACACAUGCAAGUCGAGCGGGGGAAGGUAGCUUGCUACCGGACCUAGCGGCGGACGGGUGAGUAAUGCUUAGGAAUCUGCCUAUUAGUGGGGGACAACAUCUCGAAAGGGAUGCUAAUACCGCAUACGUCCUACGAGAGAAAGCAGGGGAUCUUCGGACCUUGCGCUAAUAGAUGAGCCUAAGUCGGAUUAGCUAGUUGGUGGGGUGAAGGCCUACCAAGGCGACGAUCUGUAGCGGGUCUGAGAGGAUGAUCCGCCACACUGGGACUGAGACACGGCCCAGACUCCUACGGGAGGCAGCAGUGGGGAAUAUUGGACAAUGGGGGGAACCCUGAUCCAGCCAUGCCGCGUGUGUGAAGAAAGCCUUAUGGUUGUAAAGCACUUUAAGCGAGGAGGAGGCUACUUUAGUUAAUACCUGGAGAUAGUGGACGCUACUCGCAGAAUAAGCACCGGCUAACUCUGUGCCAGCCGCCGCCGUAA
rnacentral:rRNA from 1 species